UACGAAGGGGGCUAGCGUUGUUCGGAAUUACUGGGCGUAAAGCGUAUGUAGGCGGAUCGUUAAGUCGGGGGUGAAAUCCCGAGGCUCAACCUCGGAACUGCCUUCGAUACUGGCGAUCUUCGAGUCCGGGAGAGGUGAGUGGAACUCCGAGUGUAGAGGUGAAAUUCGUAGAUAUUCGGAAGAACACCAGUGGCGAAGGCGGCUCACUGGCCCGGUACUGACGCUGAAAUACGGAAAGCGAUGGGGAGCCAAACAGGGGAAUU
rnacentral:rRNA from 1 species